ACACCACUCAAGCUCAGCUUGGUAUUGGGCCCCCGUUCCCCCGUGGACGGGCCUGAAAAUCAGUGGCGGCACAGCCCGGCUUCAAGCAGUAUUAGUUUACCUUUCGCUUUGGAAGUCCGGGCCUGGGUACGCCAGACAACCCCCCAACUAUUUUCUUAA
rnacentral:rRNA from 1 species